rnacentral:rRNA from 1 species
GAUGAACGCUGGCGGCGUGCUUAACACAUGCAAGUCGAACGGUGAAGGCGGAGCUUGCUCUGCUGGAUCAGUGGCGAACGGGUGAGUAACACGUGAGCAAUCUGCCCCUGACUCUGGGAUAAGCGCUGGAAACGGCGUCUAAUACUGGAUACGAGCUGCGAAGGCAUCUUCAGCAGCUGGAAAGAACUUCGGUCAGGGAUGAGCUCGCGGCCUAUCAGCUUGUUGGUGAGGUAACGGCUCACCAAGGCGUCGACGGGUAGCCGGCCUGAGAGGGUGACCGGCCACACUGGGACUGAGACACGGCCCAGACUCCUACGGGAGGCAGCAGUGGGGAAUAUUGCACAAUGGGCGAAAGCCUGAUGCAGCAACGCCGCGUGAGGGACGACGGCCUUCGGGUUGUAAACCUCUUUUAGCAGGGAAGAAGCGAAAGUGACGGUACCUGCAGAAAAAGCGCCGGCUAACUACGU